rnacentral:misc_RNA from 1 species
CAGAAAGAAAAAAGAGGCAAACAGAAAGACAUACGAGACCAGGGAUAAAGGCUGAAAAGAGCUACGGAAUGCACUAGAAUUAAAAUUUCUUUCUUUCUGGCAGCUUAUUUCAUGCGAGGUAUGAGUACUUUAGUGAAGUGGAAGCAAAGAAGCCCAUAUUCCAGAUAGAUGACAGCAGAGUCCCAAAGUUUUCGACUUCAUGGUAUUUUCAUCUGCUUAAGUGGAUUGUCCUACUUUACUUAUGGACUCAACAAAAGAUGGACAUGGAAAUACUAGACAUAUGAGGCGAGGAAACCAUGUAAUUUUAGUCACACAAGGCACAUCUGAG